rnacentral:lncRNA from 1 species
UUAAAACAUUCAAUUUAACCAAUUUCAUCCAAUUAACUAAAAAUCCAAAAAUUUCAUCAAGAAUCCUAGAAAAUCAAAAAUGAGAAAUUGAAAGAGGAGAAGGCAAAUUGAGCACAGACCUUAAAUAAACAACCUCCGAGAUGCUAGAUAUCCCCUUAAUUCAAACGUUUGCUUUACCUUUAUCCAAUUUUGAGGGUUCCCCAAUUUCUAGCCAAAGGAAAGAAAAUAAACACAAAACAUUAAACAAAUAAAGUAUGAAAAACAUGCAUGGAGAAGAAGAUAUCAAAACCCUAAACAAUUUCUAAGAAUCUAACUAAAAAUCUCAAAUUUCUACUUACUUAAACUGUCGCUAAAUCUUUUUCUUGGAAGAACACAACUCAAAUCUUCAAAGACAAGCUUUAAUCUUCAUGAUAAAUGAUUAAUUUCAUGGGAUUUCAUCUAACUUUUGGUGUCUCCUUUGAAGGAUUUAAAAAGAAAAUGAGAGGAGAAGGGAGAGAGAU